rnacentral:rRNA from 1 species
ACCUAGGAAACAGAUGCUAAUACCGGAUACAACAGAUGAUGCCUAUCAACUGUUUAAAAGAUGGUUCUGCUAUCACUCUUGGAUGGACCUGCGGUGCAUUAGCUAGUUGGUAGGGUAACGGCCUACCAAGGCGAUGAUGCAUAGCCGAGUUGAGAGACUGAUCGGCCACAUUGGGACUGAGACACGGCCCAAACUCCUACGGGAGGCAGCAGCA